rnacentral:rRNA from 1 species
GACGAACGCUGGCGGCGUGCUUAACACAUGCAAGUCGAACGGAAAGGCCCUGCUUUUGUGGGGUGCUCGAUUGGCGAACGGGUGAGUAACACGUGAGUAACCUGCCCUUGACUUUGGGAUAACUUCAGGAAACUGGGGCUAAUACCGGAUAUGAGCUCCUGCUGCAUGGUGGGGGUUGGAAAGUUUCGGCGGUUGGGGAUGGACUCGCGGCUUAUCAGCUUGUUGGUGUGGUAGUGGCUUACCAAGGCUUUGACGGGUAGCCGGCCUGAGAGGGUGACCGGCCACAUUGGGACUGAGAUACGGACCAGAAUCCUACGGGAGGCAGCAGUGGGGAAUAUUGCACAAUGGGCGGAAGCCUGAUGCAGCAACGCUGCGUGCGGGAUGACGGCCUUCGGGUUGUAAACCGAUUUCGAAUGUGACGAAGAGUGAGUGACGGUAAUGGGUCAAGAAGCACCGGCUAACUACGUG